rnacentral:rRNA from 1 species
CGUGCUUAACACAUGCAAGUCGAACGAUGAAGCCCUUCGGGGUGGAUUAGUGGCGAACGGGUGAGUAACACGUGGGCAAUCUGCCCUUCACUCUGGGACAAGCCCUGGAAACGGGGUCUAAUACCGGAUAACACUUUCCCUCUCAUGGGGGAAGGUUAAAAGCUCCGGCGGUGAAGGAUGAGCCCGCGGCCUAUCAGCUAGUUGGUGGGGUAAUGGCCUACCAAGGCGACGACGGGUAGCCGGCCUGAGAGGGCGACCGGCCACACUGGGACUGAGACACGGCCCAGACUCCUACGGGAGGCAGCAGUGGGGAAUAUUGCACAAUGGGCGAAAGCCUGAUGCAGCGACGCCGCGUGAGGGAUGACGGCCUUCGGGUUGUAAACCUCUUUCAGCAGGGAAGAAGCGAAAGUGACGGUACCUGCAGAAGAAGCGCCGGCUAACUACGUGCCAGCAGCCGCGGUAAUACGUAGGGCGCAAGCGUUGUCCGGAAUUAUUGGGCGUAAAGAGCUCGUAGGCGGCUUGUUGCGUCGGUUGUGAAAGCCCGGGGCUUAACCCCGGGUCUGCAGUCGAUACGGGCAGGCUAGAGUGUGGUAGGGGAGAUCGGAAUUCCUGGUGUAGCGGUGAAAUGCGCAGAUAUCAGGAGGAACACCGGUGGCGAAGGCGGAUCUCUGGGCCAUUACUGACGCUGAGGAGCGAAAGCGUGGGGAGCGAACAGGAUUAGAUACCCUGGUAGUCCACGCCGUAAACGUUGGGAACUAGGUGU